UAAUUUCCUGCCAUUUAACCAUGACAGAUUUGAUUCUCUGCAAUUCGUCUUUGAUGGGAUGUUUCAUUGGAUCUUCUCCUUGUAUUCUUAAAUGUACCCAAUGCAAAGAGUUUAGGGUGAAUGCCAAGAACAGGUCUAGUUCUAUUUGAGCGGGAAGAGAAAGUCGAUCAUACUGUUGUUUUAAGGGUAGAAGUUGAUCCAAUACCUUCUGAACUUCAAUCAAAUUUUCUUUAAGGUUUUCACAUUUACCUACAAACUCCUCAUCUUUAGCGAGUUCACCAUAUUCCAAGUCCCAAUUCAUUUUAGAUUAUUUGAGACUUAUGUCAGAUACAGUAUAAUUCACUAUGAGUUACUAUAAUUUACAAAGUUGAUUGUACAAACAGAUAACUUUCAGGUAAAUCACGAUUUAAUUACUCGUUUUGUAGUGAUUUCAUAUUUCUAACCUAACUUACCUUUGUCAGUUGCCUUGCUUUUGUUUGUUCCUUUUCUUGUCUUGAUCAAAACCUGAAAGCAGUGACAGUGACAUAUCAGUGCUGACAUUGAUAGAUCAUGCUGAAUGAGAUGCUGAAAAGAGGGAAGACACAAAGAGGACUUGCUUUGUGCUAUGCAUCAGAAUGUUUUCCACUGGCUGUAGAAUCUGUCUGACAACGGGUGUGCCGUUGAUGAUCAUCGGAGGCUACCUAAGGUUGGUGUAUGAGAAGAUCACCAGUACCGUACUUGACACAGCUAACCCGAGGCGUGUAGCAGUGUGUUUUGAAUGCUACCAUGAGCUUGAUAACUGCCACGAAUUGAUAUUAACAGCUGCCAGAGCAGAGAAUUUGCUCAAACUUAUAAUGGAUAGACUUUCUGAGUGAGGUAAAACAUCAUGAAGACACCUGCACAUUCAGAGUGGUGAGGAUGCAAACUGGACUAAUGCUAGAAGGAUGAUUAGUGUACUGAAGCCCAGAAGCUGUUGGCUACCAGUGUAAGUGCAACAUGAGCACUGCAAAGAUGAGAUACCAGACUUUUUUAAUGGGAUUGAGUUGGGCUUGAUUGGAGCAUUAUCUUUGUAUUUCGAAGACAUAUUUGGAAAUGAGAAAAAGUACAAUAAAAUUACAUAGGAUAAUGAUGACAUCUGCAGAAGUUAUUUACCUGUGUUGCAGAUGUCAACACCCAACUCGAGAAAACAUUUAUAUAAUGUGUUUCCUUAAUCUUAGCACCUAAUUAAUUUUAUUACAAUAAAAAAGGAAAGAAAAAGGUUUGAUGUUUACUUUAUUGUGUGCAAGUGUGUUUUGUGGGGCUUGUAUGUGUGAGUGUAAGUAAAGAGAGAAACAAUGUAAGGUGAAUAUUGUGGAUUUGAAACAUCUGUUCACGGGGAUAUUUAAUAUAAUGUAAGACUUUCCAUAUUAUUGUGAUAAUUGCAUGAGCCAUUCAAUGCAUGUAACCUUACCUUGUAUGAUGUAAGGGGAUAUAUAAUAAGUUGUUUUUUAAAAAUAUUAUAAAUACCUAUACCUACAAAGUAUUGUAUUGAAUAUAUUGAGCAGGUAAGGUAGACUUUGUCUGUCAUAGGGUAGUUGUGAAUGUUUAUAUAGAACAGUUUGAAGAAUGUUAACCUGUCAAAUCGUAAGUUCUCUGCAUAACAAAUAUAGUUAAUUUGUAGGAAAGCAAACUGGAUUUUUGGGAAUUACUUUAAGAAGAGCUCUCUAAGAUCUCUCUAGCUUGAACAUGUGGGUUUAAGCAGAACUACCCCAGGUUACGAUUUCAUAUGACAGACUAGACUGAGCAAGGGCAUAAAAGUAAUUUUCAUUUUGAAGAAAUAACAGUUUCAGCAUGCUCUUGUACAUCGUACCAUUCACGUCCAUUGACGAGUAACUCAUUGUAAUCAGCAUAGGUUAUAAUUUUACAAUUAGGCAAAGACAUUUGGCAGAGGUUGUUCACAUAUAUGAGAAAUAAGGUAGGUCCUAGCACACUACCUUGGGGAACUCCAUAAUUCACAGACUUCUUUGCUUGUGAUUCCGUCUAAAAUGACAUAAUGGAAACGGUUAUUGAGAUAACUUCGAAAUAUGUCCAGUGCAACCCCACUUAUACACAUACACUUAAGUUUAUUAAGUAGGAUCAGAACAACUACAGUAUCAAAAGCCUUAGUAAAGUCUAAAUAUAUACCAAUCUUUUUCUUUUUUUCAGUUUACUAUCAUCCUGUAUAGAUCUAUAUUAAGAAAUAUUGUCUUUGUCACCACUCCCGAAUAUGGGUUGAACAAUGGCUUUCUUACAUAAAUACACUAGGGAAAACUCCUGAAACAAGUGCCAAAUUAAAAAUGUGAUUCAAAAUAAUAAGUGAAUAAUAUUUACACGAUUUUAUUAUUAGCCAAGAUGAUUUAUUACACCUACAUGCAUUAAAUCACGCGUUUCCUGGGAGGGGUAGGCACAGACCACAUCUUUCCCCUUGCCACAAUCCCUUCAUAGAUGGAAGGUCCUAUUAUCUAUUACAGAUACAGUCAACACCUAUCAAAAUGGAAUGAAGUACAAGAAACUACACCAUCAUAGAUAACGGUAGGGUCUUAAGACUCGUGCAGAGGUACUUACUUACCACUCAACUCUGAGACAGCUAUGUGGAAGGUAAUAGACAUGGCUGUUGAGUUUGAACACACAAGAUGCAUUGUGUUCAUGGACCGAAUCUCUGCAGACUAUAUAUGAAAUAUGUAAGUCCAUGAAUUUUCGUAUCUUUAGCGGAUUAUGCACCGAUACCUUCAAGUUACUUGAAGAUAGUGUUGCUUUAGAAGAAGUGGACUCAGUUGAAUACAGUGGGGAUGUGGAAGUGGGCGAGUAGGAUCUUAUUAUGAUCUCAAGACAGCAAGUGGUUUGAAAACAGAAGAACUGUCUAUAAGAGAGGUAGUGACAACAUACCUGAAUGUCUUGACAAAGAUGAAAAUGUAGUGCUCCAAUCAGAGACCAAACAAUUAUUGAUUCUAUUGGGCAGAGAUAGUGAAAAAUGAUGAAAUAUCUAGUUCUUUGUAUAAAUAAAUGGAAUAGGUACUAAAGA